rnacentral:tRNA from 1 species
GGUUCCAUAGUGUAGCGGUUAGCACAUCUGCUUUACGCGCAGAAGGUGCUGGGUUCGUGCCCCAGUGGAGCCA